UUCCAGACUCCUACGGGAGGCAGCAGUGAGGAAUAUUGGUCAAUGGCCGCAGGGCUGAACCAGCCAAGUCGCGUGAGGGAUGACGGUCCUAUGGAUUGUAAACCUCUUUUGUCAGGGAGCAAAGGGCGCCACGUGUGGCGUUUUGCGAGUACCUGAAGAAGAAGCCCCGGCUAACUACGUGCCAGCAGCCGCGGUAAUACGUAGGGGGCAAGCGUUAUCCGGAUUUACUGGGUGUAAAGGGAGCGUAGACGGGCCAGCAAGUCUGAUGUGAAAACCCGGGGCCCAACCCCGGGAGUGCAUUGGAAACUGCGGGCCUGGAGUGCCGGAGAGGUAAGCGGAAUUCCUAGUGUAGCGGUGAAAUGCGUAGAUAUUAGGAGGAACACCAGUGGCGAAGGCGGCUUACUGGACGGUAACUGACGUUGAGGCUCGAAAGCGUGGGGAGCAAACAGGAUUAGAUACCCCAGUAUCU
rnacentral:rRNA from 1 species